rnacentral:rRNA from 1 species
AGAGCGAACGCUGGCGGCGUGCUUAACACAUGCAAGUCGAGUGCGCGUCCGUAGCAAUACGGAUGGCGCACGGCGCACGGGUGCGUAACACGUGGGCAAUCUGCCCUCGGAUGGGGAUAACCCCGCGAAAGCGGGCUAAUACCGCAUGACAUUCCGGAGACUACGGUCUCUGGAUUCAAAGGAGCAAUUCGCUCGAGGAGGGGUCGCGGCCGAUUAGUUAGUUGGCGGGGUAAUGGCCCACCAAGACGAUGAUCGGUA